GAUGAACGCUAGCUGCAGGCUUAACACAUGCAAGUCGAGGGGUAACAAGAGGAAAGCUUGCUUUUCUUGUUGACGACCGGCGCACGGGUGAGUAACGCGUAUCCAACCUGCCUAUAACUAGGGAAUAACCUUGCGAAAGUAAGACUAAUACCCUAUGAUUUCCUUUGAUGACAUCCGAGUAGGAAUAAAGAUUUAUAGGUUAUAGAUGGGGAUGCGUCUGAUUAGCUUGUUGGCGGGGUAACGGCCCACCAAGGCAACGAUCAGUAGGGGUUCUGAGAGGAAGGUCCCCCACAUUGGAACUGAGACACGGUCCAAACUCCUACGGGAGGCAGCAGUGAGGAAUAUUGGUCAAUGGGCGGAAGCCUGAACCAGCCAAGUAGCGUGCAGGAUGACGGCCCUAUGGGUUGUAAACUGCUUUUAUACAGGAAUAAAGUUAGCCACGUGUGGUUAUUUGUAGGUACUGUAUGAAUAAGGACCGGCUAAGUCCAUGCCAGCCGCCGCUGUAA
rnacentral:rRNA from 1 species